rnacentral:piRNA from 1 species
UGCAUACAGAUGGUGAAGGUCAGGCA